rnacentral:ncRNA from 1 species
GCGAUGAAACGGGAGGUUGCGGCAUUUAUGCCGGUAAUUUCCGUGGAGUAUGUCCGAUAAACGGGCGACA